GUUGAAUUUAAUUUCGGAAGGGAAAAAAAGUUUUUUUUAAUCAUUUCUGUGCGCUACCUAUGUUCUAAAAAAUAUAUUUUUGGACACCAAAACUGGGUUGCUAUUGGCAACCAGGCAGUUAAAGUGGCAACAUGCUGUUUUGCGAUAGACUGAGCUUGAGAAAAUAUAUCUCUGGAAUGAUUUAACCAAUUGACAUGAAAUUUUCAGGAUAUAUGUAUCUUGCCAUUCUCUUGGGGAUGAACAGAGGAUUUUUGAAAAGUUUGAAAACUAAGCGGAUUAUGAGG